AAGGUUUUCCUGGCAACGCGUCGUCGACCAGGAGUUAGCCGAUCCUAAGUGUAAUCCCAAAGGUUUUACACGAAAAGGGAAACCGGUUAAUAUUCCGGUGCCCUAGAGAUUCCGUGCACUUUGUGCAGAUUUAGCUUCGCUUUCUUCGAGAUAGGGUGAACAAGGUUGUCGCCUUGUUUAAUUGUUCAAGAUUGGGGGAGUGUCGUAAUGACGAGAACUCAUUCGAGGCGAGAAUAGCCGGCCGUAUGGCUGGUUCACUUGAAUCUGGGAGACACUGAAAACGGAGUUGAUGAGGAAUCUUUAGGUUCGUACCCAGAACCGACACAGGUGCCCUAGCUGAGAAGGCUUCGGUGUAUCGGGUAUAUGGUAGGCGAGGGAAUUCGGCAAAUUAGCCCCGUACCUUCGGUAUAAGGGGUGCCUGCUAUUUUUGCGAGAAGCAGGGAUAGCAGGUCGCAGUAACAAGGGGGUCCCGACUGUUUAAUAAAAACACAGGAAGCUGCUAGCCCGAAAGGGUGUGUAUAGCUUUUGAAUCCUGGCCAGCAACGGUACCUAAAACCUGGGUUCAACUGGGCUAAGGGCCGUUUAGCGCCGGGAGUAACUCUGACUCUCUUAAGGUAGCCAAAUGCCUUGUCGGGUAA
rnacentral:rRNA from 1 species